AUUACAUGUAUCUUUCUUCAAAAAAAAAAAAAAGAGAUGUUAAUUGUUCAUUCCCUUUUGACAUGUGCAGAUCUUUUCCAACAUUUCUGAAAUGUCAUUCUUGAAAAGAUCAAAAUUUUGUGGUGAAUAAUUUAAAAAAAUUUGUGUAAGCUGCAGGCCUAAUUACAUGUGGCUAUAGGAAUAUGAGAUGGAUGUCACCUGUAGCAGUAUGGAAAAGGCGAAGAUAGAAUGACUGGUGUUUUACAGAGAAAGAUUCAGGACACAUUGCACAAAUGGUGGACACUUUCAGGAAGAAAAGACUGCUCUGGGAAACUAAACACAGCAAGACCUCUUCUGGCUAAGGAAGUUCAUGAACUGCAAAUUAUUGUUAGGAUUUUCUGGGAACCACAAACUUUCCGUGUUCGUCUAUGCCUAUAUAGCAAAUAUAUAGGGAAAUAAGCAUCAGAUGUUCUUCAUUACUGGAUA